CCUACGGGUGGCAGCAGUGAGGAAUAUUGGUCAAUGGGCGCGAGCCUGAACCAGCCAAGUCGCGUGAAGGAUGACUGCCCUACGGGUUGUAAACCUCUUUUAUAAGGGAAUAAAGUGUGGCACGUGUCCCUUUUUGUAUGUACUUUAUGAAUAAGGAUCGGCUAACUCCGUGCCAGCAGCCGCGGUAAUACGGAGGAUCCGAGCGUUAUCCGGAUUUAUUGGGUUUAAAGGGUGCGUAGGUGGGUUGUUAAGUCAGUUGUGAAAGGUUGCGGCUCAACCCUAAAAUUGCAAUUGAUACUGGCAGCCUUGAGUACAGUUGAGGUAGGCGGAAUGCGUGGUGUAGCGGUGAAAUGCUUAGAUAUCACGAAGAACUCCGAUUGCGAAGGCAGCAUACUAAACUGCCACUGACACUGAUGCACGAAAGUGUGGGUAUCGAACAGGAUUAGAUACCCCUGUAGUC
rnacentral:rRNA from 1 species